GUGAAUCAUCGAAUUUUUGAACGCAAAUUGCACUCUCCUCUGAGAGUAUGCCUGUUUGAGUUUCAGCCUAUAAAAAUCGACAUCGUUGCUGUUUCGCGUUGACGUUCGUCGGAAAUUUUGUCACCUUAAUUCCUUUUGGGUUUAAGCGACUUAAAAUUUUCUUUUUGGUUCCAUGAACGUUUCUAAGAUUUAGUUCUUUACACGUUGAAGGUAUCGAUUUUUAUUAUACGUGAUGAUCAUAGCGGAGCUCGUGCAUCAUCUUUCAUU
rnacentral:misc_RNA from 1 species